GGUAGCGUGGCCGAGCUGUCUAAUGCGCUGAUGUAAGGCACCAGUCAUUUCGAUGGCGUGGGUUCGAAUCCCACCGCUGCCA
rnacentral:tRNA from 1 species